rnacentral:rRNA from 1 species
CCUACGGGCGGCAGCAGUGAGGAAUAUUGGUCAAUGGACGAGAGUCUGAACCAGCCAAGUAGCGUGAAGGAUGACUGCCCUAUGGGUUGUAAACUUCUUUUAUAUGGGAAUAAAAUGUUCCACGUGUGGGAUUUUGUAUGUACCAUGUGAAUAAGGAUCGGCUAACUCCGUGCCAGCAGCCGCGGUAAUACGGAGGAUCCGAGCGUUAUCCGGAUUUAUUGGGUUUAAAGGGAGCGUAGGUGGAUUGUUAAGUCAGUUGUGAAAGUUUGCGGCUCAACCGUAAAAUUGCAGUUGAAACUGGCAGUCUUGAGUACAGUAGAGGUGGGCGGAAUUCGUGGUGUAGCGGUGAAAUGCUUAGAUAUCACGAAGAACUCCGAUUGCGAAGGCAGUUCACUGGACUGCAACUGACACUGAGGCUCGAAAGUGUGGGUAUCAAACAGGAUUAGAUACCCCUGUAGUC